rnacentral:rRNA from 1 species
AUGAACGCUGGCGGCGUGCCUCAUACCUGCAAGUCGAGCGAACGGACGAGAAGCUUGCUUCUCUGAUGUUAGCGGCGGACGGGUGAGUAACACGUGGAUAACCUACCUAUAAGACUGGGAUAACUUCGGGAAACCGGAGCUAAUACCGGAUGAUAUUUUGAACCGCAUGGUUCAAAAGUGAAAGACGGUCUUGCUGUCACUUAUAGAUGGAUCCGCGCUGCAUUAGCUAGUUGGUAAGGUAACGGCUUACCAAGGCAACGAUGCAUAGCCGACCUGAGAGGGUGAUCGGCCACACUGGAACUGAGACACGGUCCAGACUCCUACGGGAGGCAGCAGUAGGGAAUCUUCCGCAAUGGGCGAAAGCCUGACGGAGCAACGCCGCGUGAGUGAUGAAGGUCUUCGGAUCGUAAAACUCUGUUAUUAGGGAAGAACAUAUGUGUAAGUAACUGUGCACAUCUUGACGGUACCUAAUCUGAAAGCCACGGCUAACUACGUG